CACAAGCUCCAAGUGGUAGCUACUUCAACUGUGAUGUAACAGACAGCACAGAACAAUCGCUGUUUCCAUGCCAUUUGGCAACUCCAUUCUCCUGGGCUCUGAGGGCUUCUUAAGAUAAGAACCAAGGGGCUUUUCAAAAUCACACCAUGACCACAGUUGUUUUGUGGGAGCUGGUAGCUUCUUCUAUCACUCUAGAUCUUUGACACCAGAAGGCUGCCUGGCUCCAAAUUCUUAAAAAUUGAAGAUGUCAGAGGAUGCAGCGGGUGAGUCCUGUGGACAUCAGAGGGGCUUCGACGCUGUGGAGCUGCUGUUCAGGUGGACACUGCUGGCCUCGAUCCCAUCAUGGAGACCACAUGGAUGCUGGGAAUGCAUCUCCCAUUGGCCGAGCUGAGGAUAUGAGUGGGCCAUGGAGAUUAGAAUCUCUUCCUGUUGCCCAGGCUGGUCUUCGACUCCUAACUUCAAAAUUUCAGAUUGCCUUAAACUACUGGAAAAAAGCUACUGUAAUACCUCGACAUAUCACUGCCAUGCAACACCACCCAAACCAUCUUCACACCUCUGCCCCUGGCAUGUGACUGGCCUGCAUUUCAGGAGGUGAAAGAUCAGACCUUUGUUAAUUGUUAAAGCACUCAGGAACCCAGAAAUAAACAUGCACGUCGAAGUUGAUCUGAGAACUAA
rnacentral:lncRNA from 13 species